CGUUGGCUGAUGAGUCCCAAAUAGGACGAAAUGAGCAUCCUGGCU
rfam:Trichobilharzia regenti genome assembly, scaffold: TRE_scaffold0075253